rnacentral:rRNA from 1 species
UGUCCCCUACAGGGGGCAGCAGUGGGGAAUAUUGCACAAUGGGGGAAACCCUGAUGCAGCAACGCCGCGUGAGUGGAGAAGUCAUCCGUGAUGUAAAGCUCUAUCAGCAGGGAAGAAAAUGACGGUACCUGAGUAAGAAGCCCCGGCUAACUACGUGCCAGCAGCCGCGGUAAUACGUAGGGGGCAAGCGUUAUCCGGAUUUACUGGGUGUAAAGGGAGCGUAGACGGCCAGACAAGUCAGAAGUGGAAGCCCAGGGCUCAACCCUGGGACUGCUUUUGAAACUGCCGGGCUGGAGUGCAGGGGG